rnacentral:ribozyme from 15 species
ACAAAGGAAGACACAAAGGGUUAAUAAUGCUCCUACGUUGGUCAUUUGUUUCUUGGUGUUUGAUUUGUUUUCUUUUUUCACCGCUUUGUUCAUUCU